UAGCUAGUUGGUGAGGUAAAGGCUUACCAAGGCGACGAUCUGUAGCGGGUCUGAGAGGAUGAUCCGCCACACUGGAACUGAGACACGGUCCAGACUCCUACGGGAGGCAGCAGUGGGGAAUUUUGGACAAUGGGGGCAACCCUGAUCCAGCCAUGCCGCGUGAGUGAAGAAGGCCUUCGGGUUGUAAAGCUCUUUCGGCCGGGAAGAAAUCGCAUGGGCCAAUACCCUGUGUGGAUGACGGUACCGGAAUAAGAAGCACCGGCUAACUACGUGCCAGCAGCCGCGGUAAUACGUAGGGUGCGAGCGUUAAUCGGAAUUACUGGGCGUAAAGCGUGCGCAGGCGGUUUUGUAAGACAGGCGUAAAAUCCCCGGGCUUAACCUGGGAAUUGCGUUUGUGACUGCAAGGCUAGAGUACGGCAGAGGGGGGUGGAAUUCCACGUGUAGCAGUGAAAUGCGUAGAGAUGUGGAGGAACACCAAUGGCGAAGGCAGCCCCCUGGGUCGAUACUGACGCUCAUGCACGAAAGCGUGGGUAGCAAACAGGAUUAGAUACCCUGGUAGUCCACGCCCUAAACUAUGUCAACUAGGUGUUGGGUGGGUAAAACCAUUUAGUACCGUAGCUAACGCGUGAAGUUGACCGCCUGGGGAGUACGGCCGCAAGGUUAAGACUCAAAGGAAUUGACGGGGACCCGCACAAGCGGUGGAUGAUGUGGAUUAAUUCGAUGCAACGCGAAAAACCUUACCUACCCUUGACAUGCCAGGAACUUGCCAGAGAUGGCUUGGUGCCCGAAAGGGAGCCUGGACACAGGUGCUGCAUGGCUGUCGUCAGCUCGUGUCGUGAGAUGUUGGGUUAAGUCCCGCAACGAGCGCAACCCUUGUCGUUAAUUGCCAUCAUUUAGUUGGGCACUUUAACGAGACUGCCGGUGACAAACCGGAGGAAGGUGGGGAUGACGUCAAGUCCUCAUGGCCCUUAUGGGUAGGGCUUCACACGUCAUACAAUGGUCGGUACAAAGGGUUGCCAAGCCGCGAGGCGGAGCCAAUCCCAGAAAAGCCGAUCGUAGUCCGGAUUGCAGGCUGCAACUCGCCUGCAUGAAGUCGGAAUCGCUAGUAAUCGUGGAUCAGCAUGUCACGGUGAACACGUUCCCGGGUCUUGUACACACCGCCCGUCACACCAUGGGAGCGGGUUCCGCCAGAAGUAGGUAGCCUAACCGCAAGGGGGGCGCUUACCACGGCGGGGUUCGUGACUGGGGUGAAGUCGUAACAAGGUAGCCGUAGGGGAACCUGCGGCUG
rnacentral:rRNA from 1 species